rnacentral:rRNA from 1 species
GACGAGCGCUGGCGGCGUGCUUAACACAUGCAAGUCGAACGAUGAACUUGGAGCUUGCUCUGGGGGAUUAGUGGCGAACGGGUGAGUAACACGUGAGUAACCUGCCCCUGACUCUGGAAUAAGCGCUGGAAACGGCGUCUAAUACCGGAUACGACACGCCCUCGCAUGGGGAGCGUGUGGAAAGUUUUUCGGUCUGGGAUGGACUCGCGGCCUAUCAGCUUGUUGGUGAGGUAAUGGCUCACCAAGGCGAUGACGGGUAGCCGGCCUGAGAGGGCGACCGGCCACACUGGGACCGAGACACGGCCCAGACUCCUACGGGAGGCAGCAGUGGGGAAUAUUGCACAAUGGGCGAAAGCCUGAUGCAGCGACGCCGCGUGAGGGAUGACGGCCUUCGGGUUGUAAACCUCUUUCAGCAGGGAAGAAGCGGAAGUGACGGUACCUGCAGAAGAAGCACCGGCUAACUACGUGCCAGCCGCCGCGGUAA